UGCUUUUGCCGGGGACAGAACAGGAACGGAGUCUUAGAACUUAGAUCUACUUUCCGUACAGCCGAUCUCCCAAGUCUGAGUCUGGAAUCCUGUCCCCAGUGCACCAAGUGCAGGUGUCUUCGUUAUCAUCCCACUACAAUCCUGCCCCUUGCACUCGCCAGCUGCCUGGCACUAGCUCUCCAGCCAGCACCACACCUGACAGUUGGCAAUGAGCCACAACACAGCCCGUCCCUCAGCCCACGCACAGCUGGCCACCUGAUCAGGUCACCUUCCCAUCACCUGAGAUACCAAACAGCAUGGGGCCGAGAACAGAGCCCUGCAGGACCAUGCUAGAGCUAACCCCUGGUGUGAUGCACCCUCACCUGCACGUGACAUCUCUCAGUGACCAGCCCCCAGCCCAUAGCUACAGUGACCGUGCAGCGUUCACAUUUGAACCAGGAUGCCAGGAGGGACUACGUCAAAGUCCGUUACGACCUCCUCCUCUUAGACAAGGGCUUUGAUGUCAGAACGCAGCAGCGCUGGGGGCGGGACUGUUGACGAGGAUCC